ensembl:lincRNA
UUAUAAUGUGUUGACAAGUUUUCUAACAGACUUUCUGAAAUAAUGCACAUAUAUUCACGUCGGCUAGAAACCCACCGUAUUUUUAGUAUUUUUAGAGUCGAGUAGAUCUAUACCCUAAUGCAGUGAGAGAGUGUAAAUCAUACAAGAUUUCAUAGUCCUUUCAGUAGUUUUCGGUAUGAAGUAUGAGCCGCGUGGCCUCCAGACGUAACCUUUUAGAAAAAAAGACAGUGCUUUUAUUUUAUGGUGUAAAGUGCUUUUAGCUCCAGGGCUCUGAACGUGAAUGUGGUCAACAAACAGCUCGAAGAGGGAGACUUAAUACACUCCCAGCCCUCGUGCCGAGGAUCGCCUGGCGCGGGGGACUCGGGCUGAGCUGGAGAAUGAAGGGUUAAAGGGUCUGUCUGGAUGGAAACUACAAGAUUAAAAUAAAAUAUUCACUGUCUGCCUUUAGGGGGAAACACCUUUAUAGACUUAAAGAUAAAUAAAUGAAUCAAUGACUGAGUGAUUGAAAACACAAUCAGCCCCACCUUGCUUUUUAAAUUCAUCCUUUUUCUUUCUUUUCUUUUCUUUUUCUUUUUUAUUUUCCUAAUCAGUCAACAGAUCAUAAAAUAGAGUCAUCUUCAUAAAAAUAAAGCCUAGGUUUUGGAUUCUGCACUUGGCAUAGGUUUUGCAUUUGGGGUUCUUGACAAUGGGAGUGCUAGGGUGUUAAGACAAAGGAAAAAUGAAUUUAAAAUAUUGGGGGUUGUACUUGAAGAAAAGGAUAGACUUCUUUUCCCUCCUCUACUACCGGUGUGACCCAGAGCCCAGAAGGCCCCUGGAGGGCAGUAUCUACUCCUCUGCAAAGGCACAGACUUCCCCCAAGGAGAUUCCUGGGAGAACCAUUAGUCUGGCAUCUUCUCCAGAAGCUUCCUGGGCCUUUAGCUGGCUGGAAGUCUGCUUCAUAUACCUGGAUGGACUCAUCCAAAGAAAAAGGAGAGAAAGGAAUGAAGGAAAAAGCUGCAUCUGCUCUAAGAAAGCAAGCAGAAGAAGAAAAAUCUGGCAUCCAGAACCAAACCAGCCUUGAGUGUCUGGACCAUGUACAGUUUCCACAAAGAAGGUCAAAAAGGGCUGAAAGAAAAGGUGUAUCAAAGGUAUCCUUGGAACUCAGAACCAAUAAAAAUGAAACUAUUCUCUUCUGAGACCUAAUUAACUUUUAUAUCCAAAGGUACACUGCACAUUUGUUCAUUGCUUAUGACAAAGACCAAAACAAUAUAUGUGCCAUGGAACUAGGCUUUUAAAUGAUCUAUUGGGUGGCUUUUCCUUGCCUGUAAGGAAUUUUCUGUUCUUUAGACGCAGUCAUUCAAUGAAUAAGUAAGUCUAUGCUAAUUUUUUUCCCUCAAAACGUUAAGUAUUUUCCUAUAUCUAUUUUCAGGGAAUCAGGGACUUAGUCCUGUAACUUCCAAAAUAUUCCCUUCAAAUCCUAAAACAAAACCCAAACAAAAAUGUUGAGGAAACAAAUUUCAUGCUACAAGCUUUGCAAGGAUUAGUCUCCUAUUAGAGUCACUGUUCCUAUAUGAUCCUUUUUCAUGUUUUAAAGGAGGAUAUAUAUUUUUCUGUUACCUUUCCUGACUGUAAAGCAAUCACAGG